rnacentral:pre_miRNA from 1 species
AGGGGAGAGCCAAAUCCUGGGCUGUGUCCCCUGGCCCUGGGUUCCAGGGCCUGCACCUCUGGAAUUGCGCUCCCAGGGCUGCACAGCCCCCU